rnacentral:rRNA from 1 species
GACGAACGCUGGCGGCGUGCUUAACACAUGCAAGUCGAACGAUGAACCCGGAGCUUGCUCCGGUGGAUUAGUGGCGAACGGGUGAGUAACACGUGAGUAACCUGCCCUUGACUCUGGGAUAACUGCGGGAAACUGUAGCUAAUACCGGAUACGACCCUCGGCGGCAUCGCCAGGGGGUGGAAAGAAUUUCGGUCAAGGAUGGACUCGCGGCCUAUCAGCUAGUUGGUGAGGUAACGGCUUACCAAGGCGACGACGGGUAGCCGGCCUGAGAGGGUGACCGGCCACACUGGGACUGAGACACGGCCCAGACUCCUACGGGGGGCAGCAGUGGGGAAUAUUGCACAAUGGGCGCAAGCCUGAUGCGGCAACGCCGCGUGAGGGAUGACGGCCUUCGGGUUGUAAACCUCUUUUAGUAGGGAAGAAGCGAAAGUGACGGUACCUGCAGAAAAAGCACCGGCUAACUACGUGCCAGCCGCCGCUGUAA